rnacentral:rRNA from 1 species
GGGAGCUCUCCCAUAUGGUCGACCUGCAGGCGGCCGCGAAUUCACUAGUGAUGAGAGUUUGAUCAUGGCUCAGAUUGAACGCUAGCGGCAUGCUUAACACAUGCAAGUCGAACGGUAACAGGCCUAGCUUGCUAGGUGCUGACGAGUGGCGGACGGGUGAGUAACGCGUAGGAAUCUGCCUUCUAGUGGGGGAUAACUUGGGGAAACUCAAGCUAAUACCGCAUAAGCCCUAAGGGGGAAAGCAAGGGACAGUGAUGCCUUGUGCCAGAAGAUGAGCCUGCGUCGGAUUAGCUAGUUGGUAGGGUAAAAGCCUACCAAGGCGAUGAUCCGUAGCUGGUCUGAGAGGAUGACCAGCCACACUGGGACUGAGACACGGCCCAGACUCCUACGGGAGGCAGCAGUGGGGAAUAUUGGACAAUGGGCGAAAGCCUGAUCCAGCAAUGCCGCGUGUGUGAAGAAGGCCUGCGGGUUGUAAAGCACUUUCGGUAGGGAAGAAGGCCUUAGUGUUAAUAGCACUAAGGAUUGACAUUACCUACAGAAGAAGCACCGGCUAACUCUGUGCCAGCAGCCGCGGUAAUACGAAUCGAAUUCCCGCGGCCGC